AGAGUUUGAUCAUGGCUCAGGAUGAACGCUAGCGGCAGGCUUAAUACAUGCAAGUCGUGGGGCAGCAUGUCCCGCAGCAAUGCGGGAUGAUGGCGACCGGCAAACGGGUGCGGAACACGUACACAACCUUCCUUUUAGUGGGGAAUAGCCCGGGGAAACCCGGAUUAAUACCCCGUAACAUAAUGAAGUGGCAUCACUUUAUUAUUAUAGCAGCAAUGCGCUUUAAGAUGGGUGUGCGCCUGAUUAGGCAGUUGGCGGGGUAACGGCCCACCAAACCUACGAUCAGUAACUGGUGUGAGAGCACGACCAGUCACACGGGCACUGAGACACGGGCCCGACUCCUACGGGAGGCAGCAGUAAGGAAUAUUGGUCAAUGGACGCAAGUCUGAACCAGCCAUGCCGCGUGGAGGAUGAAGGUCCUCUGGAUUGUAAACUUCUUUUAUCUGGGAAGAAAUCCACGAAUUCUUUUGUGGUUGACGGUACCAGAUGAAUAAGCACCGGCUAACUCCGUGCCAGCAGCCGCGGUAAUACGGAGGGUGCAAGCGUUAUCCGGAUUCACUGGGUUUAAAGGGUGCGUAGGUGGGCAGGUAAGUCAGUGGUGAAAUCUCCGGGCUUAACUCGGAAACUGCCAUUGAUACUAUCUUUCUUGAAUACCGUGGAGGUCAGCGGAAUAUGUCAUGUAGCGGUGAAAUGCUUAGAUAUGACAUAGAACACCAAUUGCGAAGGCAGCUGGCUACACGAAUAUUGACACUGAUGCACGAAAGCGUGGGGAUCAAACAGGAUUAGAUACCCUAGUAGUCC
rnacentral:rRNA from 1 species